UCAUCUGCUUCGUCCUCUACCUCUAUAAACUCACCUCUCCUCUCUUCACUUGCAAAUCCCCCCAGUUAUGACUUAUGGCUCCGCAUAGCCUUCUCUUUUGAGCUCAGUGUUGGAUUCUGUUGCGGCGGCCUCUAGUUCGCUUGGUGCAGGUUCCUGCCUUGCAUCAACUGAAUCAGAGGCCGCGGUGAAUCAUUAUUUCCGUCUAGUUUAUAUUGGAAGGAUUCACGUGGAUCUGCGAUUGGUAUGGUAGAUGUCAAUUUUGAAUUCGUUUUCUUCGCAAUUACUCCUAGUUUUUUUGCCGGAUCUGAUUCGUUUGUUUUUCUGCAUUGAGCAUGAAUGAUAGAUCUUGUUUUCUGCAUUGACAGAUACUCUAUGCAGAUUAAUUAGUGUAGUUUUCUAGCUAAGAAAAAAAAGUUUUUCAGUAGCAGAUUAUCCUUUCAGCUGCUUCUGAUACGAAAAUACUCCUGGAUAUUUAAUAGAACUUGUGUAUCAAUGAGAUCUUAUUUGUUGUUUUUUUAUCAGGUAAAUUCUAUCCAGUAGUAGCUCUUCUUCGAAAUCCUCUUGAAAAAUACUGCUUUCUGAGAAAACGUUAAUGCAUUUCCCAUGGAUGAUCCUAAUUCCUAAGCCUAGUGUAUUUUAGAAUGAUAAUUAUGCUAAGAUGCAUGAGUUACAUUGGAUCCAUGGUAAAGAAUGAGGUUUGUUUCAUUCACUAGUAUGUACUAUAUCUGUUUUGUGAAUCAUGUGAGUUGUAUCCCAUUAUGCUCUUCCUUAUGUUGCAGUGGAGUAUAUGUCUGAAACGUUGAAUGGAUUUGGGGAAAUUCUGGCAAUUAUAUUGCCCAUGUGGCUGUGUUAUGGGUCAUAGCUUUGUCUUCUAGUGACCUGAAAGAAUAUAAUGGCACGCUCUCUUUUAGUGCUUGGGAGAAUAAUUGGCAUAUUUCUGUUCUUUUAGUUGUCGUUUUAAACUGCAUUUUACUGUAGUAGUACUUGGCAUAUAAAAUAGCCCAAUUGAAACAAUCAACAGCCUCAAGAUUUGUCUUUUAGAAUGAAGACAGAGUGCUCUAAAAUAAAUUCGGACUGUUAUUUUAGUCUGAAAUAAAUUCUCAAGCAUCUGCAUUUUUACUUUCAUGAGUUCAGUAAGCUUCUCCUGCUUGUGAAGCUAUUCAUAAUAUAUUCUUGCAGUAUCAUACCUGCCAUAUUUGAUUAUAUAGACUGAUGAAGGGCUCGUGUUGGUUACAAACUCUGAUGUUUCGGAUUAGUUUUUGUCUUGGCGCUGAUGGCAUGAACUAAGGUGUGCAAAUUCUUGACUUCCUUGAACUGUUUCAGCCUUUCAAACUCUUGAGCCAUAAUCGUGCAAGUUCGUGCGAGUCAUUUUUUGGUUAUUUUUCAAGUGAGUGACGACUUGCAAAAAUAUAGUUCAACUUGUUAAUUUCCACUUAUUAAUACUACUAAUUAUAGUUGCUGUGAACAAAUCUUGUGAUGAUCUUUGCCUUCUCCAAUGUCUCAUUGAUGAGAUCCACCGGCCUCCUUCAUGAAGGCUGAGCUCUUGUAUGUGAUUAUCUGCACGGCGUUCUGGAGUCCAACCUCCACCAUGAAGAAGGUCUGCAUAGUAGCAUCCAUGUUCUCAACACAAUCAGUUGUGUCAGACGAGAAAAGAUACACAGUACCUUUGGGGCAGUCCACCAAAAUAUUCACAAAAGUUCGGUCAUUGGCAUGCGUCCAUCCAUCGAGCAAGAUGCUACAGCCAGUGUCAGCCCACGAUCUUUUGAUCUCAUCCACGCAAGAGGUCGUUUCCUUCAUCACAUCCCUGAAUAUCCACCCUUUUAACUCCUCGAUAGUAAGAGCUUGACGCUGCAUCCUCAUUGAGUGAUAAAAGAGAUUAGUGCAUCCUCAUUGAGUGAAUUGGCAGCAUCAAAGUCAAGUCCAUUCUCAUAAAAGAAUCUACCGACGUGCAAUUUGGUUUCCUUGAUCAACGGAUCUGUUAGGGAGUUUAAACAAAACGUGAACAAAUCAGAUGUGCGUGUAACACUUUCAGAUCAAAUCAAUUCGGCGGUUCUACCAAUAUUUGAUCGGAUACAAUUCAGGUUUCGAAGAUAUUUGUCUGUUGAUUCUGUACAACUUUGAACCUAGAAAUUGAACAUAAGAAGAUGCUGAAAAACGAAGAGUCGCGUCUCUUCGUUUCACAACUGUUUUUAACAGUUUUUGUCGGGAAUAGAAAAUUGCAAAAUAGUCCUUCAACUUUUAGAAAUUACGUUUCCGGAUGAAUUUUCUGUACAACAACUUUAAGCCAGGGGCUGUCGCCCCUUGGACCCUGCUACUCAGGGGCGCUGUACCCGAACCCCCGUCUAAUCAUAAUAAAUUCAAAUAAGUGUAUACUUCGCACUUCCAAUUUA